rnacentral:rRNA from 1 species
ACCUGGUUGAUCCUGCCAGUAGUCAUAUGCUUGUCUCAAAGAUUAAGCCAUGCAUGUCUAAGUAUAAGCUUUUAUACGGUGAAACUGCGAAUGGCUCAUUAAAACAGUUAUAGUUUAUUUGAUGGUCUCUUUUACAUGGAUAACCAUGGUAAUUCUAUGGCUAAUACAUGCGCACAGGCCUCCUUCUUUGGAGGGGCCGUGUUUAUUAGAUACAAAACCAACCCACUUUGUGGAGCCUUGGUGAUUCAUAGUAACCGAACGGAUCGCAUUUGGCUUUAGCCGGCGAUAGAUCAUUCAAGUUUCUGACCUAUCAGCUUUCGACGGUAGGGUAUUGGCCUACCGUGGCAUUGACGGGUAACGGGGAAUUAGGGUUCGAUUCCGGAGAGGGAGCCUGAGAAACGGCUACCACAUCUAAGGAAGGCAGCAGGCGCGCAAAUUACCCAAUGAAAACAGUUUCGAGGUAGUGACGAGAAAUAACAAUACAGGGCAUUUAAUGCUUUGUAAUUGGAAUGAUAGGAAUUUAAAAUCCUUCCAGAGUAACAAUUGGAGGGCAAGUCUGGUGCCAGCAGCCGCGGUAAUUCCAGCUCCAAUAGUGUAUAUUAGAGUUGUUGCAGUUAAAAAGCUCGUAGUUGGAUUUCUGUCGUGGUCAUCCGGCCUUGCCCGUAGGGUGUGCGCCUGGGUUGCCCGCGGCUUUCUUCCGGUAGCCUUCCGCGCUUCGCUGCGUGCGUUGGUGUUCCGGAACUUUUACUUUGAGAAAAAUAGAGUGUUUCAAGCAGGCUUGUCGCCCUGAAUACUGCAGCAUGGAAUAAUAAGAUAGGACCUUGGUUCUAUUUUGUUGGUUUCUAGGACCGAGGUAAUUCUGCAGGCAUGCACGCGAGCGCGCGUGGAUCGGCGCGGGGGUAUAGCGUAACAUCCUCGGGCUUCCACAGCUCCUCGGGGUUUUUCCUGUGCGUCGCCUUCUUUCCUUCGUCCUGCUGAAAUAGA